rnacentral:rRNA from 1 species
UACGUAGGGACCAAGCGUUGUUCGGAUUUACUGGGCGUAAAGGGCGCGUAGGCGGCGUGUUAAGUCAGCUGUGAAAUCUCCAAGCUUAACUUGGAACGGUCAGCUGAUACUGAUGUGCUAGAGUGCAGAAAGGGCAAUCGGAAUUCUUGGUGUAGCGGUGAAAUGCGUAGAUAUCAAGAGGAACACCUGAGGCGAAGGCGGGUUGCUAGGCUGACACUGACGCUGAGGCGCGAAAGCUAGGGUAGCAGACGGG